UCCCGGUUAGCUCAGCUGGUAGAGCGUCAGACUCUUAUUCUGAAUGUCGAGGGUUCGAACCCCUCACUGGGAA
rnacentral:tRNA from 1 species